rnacentral:rRNA from 1 species
UACGAAGGGGGCUAGCGUUGUUCGGAAUCACUGGGCGUAAAGCGCACGCAGGCGGAUCGUUAAGUCAGGGGUGAAAUGCCGAGGCUCAACCUCGGAACUGCCUUUGAUACUGGCGAUCUUAGAGUCCGGGAGAGGUGAGUGGAACUCCGAGUGUAGAGGUGAAAUUCGUAGAUAUUCGCAAGAACACCAGUGGCGAAGGCGGCUCACUGGCCCGGUACUGACGCUGAGGCGCGAAAGCUAGGGGAGCAAACGGG